rnacentral:rRNA from 1 species
ACAAGCAGCGGAGCGUGUGGUUAAUUCGAUGCUACACGAAGAACUUACCUGGGUUUGACAUAUAGGUUGUAGGGAACUGAAAGGGACGACCCUUCGGGGAGCCUAUACAGGUGUUGCAUGGCUGUCGUCAGCUCGUGUCGUGAGAUGUUCGGUUAAGUCCGCUAACGAGCGCAACCCUCGUCGUAUGUUAUAUGUGUCAUACGAGACUGCCGGUAAAAGCCGGAGGAAGGUGAGGAUGAUGUCAAGUCAGCAUGACCUUUAUAUCCAGGGCUACACACACGCUACAAUGGUCUGUACAAUGGGUAGCCAAGCCGCGAGGCGGAGCCAAUCCUGAAAGCAGGCCUCAGUUCAGAUUGCAGUCUGCAACUCGACUGCAUGAAGCCGGAGUUGCUAGUAACCGCAGGUCAGCAAUACUGCGGUGAAUACGUUCCCGGGUCUU